AUGACCCCGAUGGCGCCGAGGAAACGCGCGAGAUACUGCUGCGGCCUCUGCGGCCUCCCAAAGAAGGGCCAUGUCUGCCGCUUCGCCGGCGGACCGUCUUCGGCGCGGCAGGUGCAGGGCCGAGAAGAAGCGGCGCCGCCCAUGGACCCUCCUUCUGCUGGCGCCAAGAAGGAGGAGGUCACCAUCAUCACCGCCCUCCCCAACGACGUCCUGGGCACCAUCAUCUCCGCGCUCCCCAUCGAUGAGGGCGCCCGCACACACGCCAUCUCCAAAGGCUGGAAACACCUCUGGCGCGACUACACUCCGCUCAACCUCGACGACCGUGACCUCCACAAAAUGGCCUGGACCGGAGACAACCUAGUCGACCUUAUCUCAGACAUCCUCGAGGCUCCACGUGAGGUACGCGCCCGUCGUGUUUCUAUCAGCACACUAUGCCGUCACUCCGGCGACCGAGACCGCUACCCCAUCUUCGACCGAUGGUUCCGAUCCAAGGUUCUGGAUCGCCUCGAGGAUUUUCAUUUCAGCUACCAGCGGGUGAACAACACCGAACCACUUCAGGCUGGCGAGACGAUGCCGCCGCUGCCGCCAUCCGCGCUGAGCUUUUCCUCCCUCCGGGUCGCCAGCUUUGGGUGCUGCCAUUUCCCUGAGAAUAUCUUAGCCUCGGGCGGCAUCACUUUCCCACAUCUCGUCGAGCUCACUCUCUCCCGGAUCACAAACUCCGAGAACACACUGCACGCCAUGAUCGCCGCAUCUCCUAUUCUUGUCAACUUGUACCUUCACAGAAACUAUCACUUCCGCCGCGUCCACAUCAGCUCGCAAACUAUUGUAAGGUUCCGCAUGUUCGUUGACCCAGAUGGUGAUGUGAUGGAAGAACUCCUCAUUGUCAACACUCCAAGCCUAGAGGAAGUGAUGCUCUGGGACCAAGGUUAUUGUGGUCCACGAAUUAUACGUGUCCUGGUUGCCCCAAAACUUCACAUCUUGGGUUGUCUGCACAGCGACAUGAUGUCCACCGUACAGCAUGGGAAGACAAUACUCCAGGCAAUGGUUGACAGCAGUCUAGUGUCAUCACUGCAUAAUGUAAAGAUCUUGAAGCUCGUUGUCCAUGGUCUUAGGUUAAAUCAUGUCAUUGACGUGCUCCGAUGCUUUCCCUGCUUACAACAGCUUCACAUAAACACACUGACAAGCUAUGUUCCAAACAAGCAGAACGACAAUCCAGCUGCUACUACUGUUGAGUGUGUUGAUAGACAUUUAAAGCAAGUAAUAGUGAGAAAUUAUUCAGGCAAGAAACCCGAUUAUAAGUUCGCCAAGUUUUUCGUUUUGAAUGCAAGAGCACUAGAGUCAAUGAAGCUCCAUGUCCCUUUUAGCUGGAACAACGAAUGGCGCUCUAGACAACGUAUCAAGAUGGAUUUUAAGAACAGAGCUUCUCCAAAUGCUUUGAUUUGUUUUGAGGGCACCGAGUGA
rnacentral:rRNA from 1 species